GACGAACGCUGGCGGCGUGCCUAAUACAUGCAAGUAGAACGCUGAAGAGAGGGGCUUGCUCUUCUUGGAUGAGUUGCGAACGGGUGAGUAACGCGUAGGUAACCUGCCUGGUAGCGGGGGAUAACUAUUGGAAACGAUAGCUAAUACCGCAUAAAAGUAGUUAUUGCAUGAUAACUGUUUGAAAGGUGCAAAUGCAUCACUACCAGAUGGACCUGCGUUGUAUUAGCUAGUUGGUGGGGUAACGGCUCACCAAGGCAACGAUACAUAGCCGACCUGAGAGGGUGAUCGGCCACACUGGGACUGAGACACGGCCCAGACUCCUACGGGAGGCAGCAGUAGGGAAUCUUCGGCAAUGGACGGAAGUCUGACCGAGCAACGCCGCGUGAGUGAAGAAGGUUUUCGGAUCGUAAAGCUCUGUUGUAAGAGAAGAACGAGUGUGAGAGUGGAAAGUUCACACNGNGACGG
rnacentral:rRNA from 1 species